rnacentral:lncRNA from 1 species
GAAAAACAAUUGCUCUACAACAAGGAAGUCUUUUUUUUUUUUUUUUUUUUGCAUGGGGAGGGGAAAAAAGCAACCUUACCAUUCCCUCUCCCAUAUGCUUCAACUUUCAUGUCUGUUUUGCCAUCUAUUCCAUUAACACUAUGAUUAAUGAAAGCUCUCCAGAAUUUCAAAUACCUUGAAAAGUAGCCAACGCCUGCACUUUGGAAGCUACACUGAAAAUAAAUAACAAUAAAAACAGGGUGAUCCAGGCUUUUGAAGUCUUUAAAGACAUCAGCCCUGUGAUCUUUGUACCACUGCUGCGGAAAAGAGGACAACAUUUCACAUUUCUGGCAUUACUAAUGACAGCACGGCAACUGAAAGAAAGCAUGAAUUUCUGGGAGUAGCAUUAGGAUACAGGAUUCCUGCUGAGCUCACCAGUUCCUUGCUCUGCACAGCUGCCUUCUCAGUUGGGGGUUUUAAACCAGCACUGUGAGAAAGACAGAAAUGACCAUGAUGCAUUUUCCUCACUAUGAGAAAAAGGUCUAAGACACCUUAAGUUGGAGGAACUUCUCCAAAGAAAGGGAGAAUGAGUCUUUGAGCAGAAAGGAAGGAUGCUGGUUCCUCAGGGACAUGACACAGGUGGCUACAGCUCUCACCAUCUGCUUUGAACCCUCUCUCCAGUCUGCUCUCCCGAAUUUCUCUGCCUUUGGCAUCAUUGCUUGGACGCUUUCUCUCCGCCUGGCCCCAGCAGAUUGAUUACCUAUUUGGACAGUCUUCUGUUCUUUGGACAAUCGCCGUGACAUGUGCUGCUUCUCAAAUUACCCUAAUGGCAACUGUGACCAGCAGUGAGUGGGGGCCCGUCUUCCAACAAAGCUCCCAGGACUCUCACUGUGCCUGCUUGAGGAGGGGUGUUGAGAGUUCACGGUGUGUUCUUAUGUUAAGCAAAUUUUGUGUUCAAAUUUCUUAGGAAAACUGAGACAUGAUUAAUACAUUGGGGAUAUUUUAUAAUACCCAGGACCAUAUAAGGAUAAAGUAUGAAUGCUAG